AGCGAACGCUGGCGGCAGGCCUAACACAUGCAAGUCGAGCGGAUGAGGGAAGCUUGCUUCCCGAUUUAGCGGCGGACGGGUGAGUAAUGCCUAGGAAUCUGCCUAUUAGUGGGGGAUAACGUUCCGAAAGGAACGCUAAUACCGCAUACGUCCUACGGGAGAAAGUGGGGGAUCUUCGGACCUCACGCUAAUAGAUGAGCCUAGGUCGGAUUAGCUAGUUGGUGGGGUAACGGCUCACCAAGGCGACGAUCCGUAGCUGGUCUGAGAGGAUGAUAAGCCACACUGGAACUGAGACACGGUCCAGACUCCUACGGGAGGCAGCAGUGGGGAAUAUUGGACAAUGGGCGAAAGCCUGAUCCAGCCAUGCCGCGUGUGUGAAGAAGGUCUUCGGAUUGUAAAGCACUUUAAGUUGGGGGGAAGGGUUGUAAGCUAAUAUCUUGCAGCUUUGACGUUACCAACAGAAUAAGCACCGGCUAACUCUGUGCCAGCCGCCGCCGUAAGAC
rnacentral:rRNA from 1 species